rnacentral:lncRNA from 1 species
GGUUUUUGGCGGGUAGUAUGGCGUUGCCAUGGCCAUUUCGUCAGAUAUUUCCAAGGUCAAAACAAUAAUUGGGGCAGCCAGGCUCUGGGUAGUCGCUCUGAUGUCCGUAGGUUGUCAUGUGAACAGGAAGGCCACCAGCACGGCCUAAGUACGUGAACUUUAAGGAAAGAGGUUCACGGUGAACAUGACGUGCUGCCCCAAACCCGUCCCCAACGAAAAGAAACCCGGGCUCACACCCAGUCCCUUAAAGGUAGAACAAGCGAAGUUCCUCCAGUAGACUUGAUCAAGAAUCUUACGGCCCAGCCCAGCCGAUAAUUUAACAGGCUUGGACACUAAAAUAGGCCCAUAAGACGGGCCUGGGUUAAAAAAGGGGGAAAAGGACGCACAAUUUG